GCCUCGAAGAUAAGGAGUUAGAAAACCAAAGUUUAGGUUUCAAGGGCAAACUCAGGAGAUCAGAUAUUGUACGUUCCACAAGAAGAGUUGAGUUCAAGAGACUAGAAUAAGAGAAGCUUUGGGUAAGUAUUGGUGUAGCAAGGUUUGAGAAAUCGGCUUGGUUCAAUGUUUCAGUAGCGUGGAAGGUAAGAAGGAAGAAAAAAUGUUGAUGAACAACGGAGUAGCUUUGGGUGUGGUUGGCAAUAUGGUUUGGUAUAUCAAGGAUGUACGAGAUUGGAAGAAGAGAAGUGGUAAAUGGUUUGAAGCUUAAGUUAAGAAAGAAUUUAGUGGACCGAGGGAAAUGUUAUUUACAAAGGAAGUAGAAGAAGAAGAGUUUAAGAAGCAGUUGUGUAAGACAUAGAGCAUAUUUAAGGAAUGUGUAAUAAAAGGUGGAAUUUCCAAGAUGGAAAGAACAUGAAGUCUGUAAGGAGAAUUGAAGUAUUGUAGGGUUGUGAGUUGAAUAAUAAUCAGAUGGAGUGGUUAAACAUUAAUCGCAAGUGGAUAUUGUAUGGUCAAGUUUAGAAGGAUGUUUCAAGAUCAGUGGGUCGUAUAGAAGAAAGGUUUUAGAACAGAUGGCACAGGGUGGUUACAGUAUAAGUGGCUAUAGAGGGUAUCAAGAAUGAUCAGAGAAUCCAGGUUGAUUGAGACGAUUAGAGUUUUGAAGUGGUAUGUUGUGGUACAGUCAGUUUUCUUCCGAUGUGAUUUUAUGGGGAUGACCAGUAUUCGGCUGAGUUUGAUCAAGAUAGAAGUGGAUGUUGAAUGAUGGUUUGCAAAAGGUAGUGAAUUGGUAAGUUCAGAUAAGGUCAGAGGGUCGAUGUUGUGGGCUAUGGGUAUUCAGAGUUCAUAGCAUUAAAGGUAGGAAUUUAUUUUGAUGAUUCUGAAUUGAGGAAGGUGAGUUUGGGACAAGGUUGUAAACUACGUGGGCAGUGAUAAGUACAUGAGGAAUUCCAAGUGAAUAUGGUAUUUGGGGAGUCACUAUAAGAGCUCAGGUUUGAGGUUUAUAGGAAGUGAUUUCUUGGAAAAGAAGAAAAGAAAGGGUGAUGCAUCAGGUAUAGUUUAGCAAAAGAUGGUAGCAAGUGUUAUGGGAAUUCAAGAGGUCUAUUAAGUGCAAGUGAAGAAGAGAUGAUGUUGUUCUUUCGUAAGUUUGAGGUGUGAUUCGAGGGAGGUUUGUUGGUUUUCAAAUCGUUUAUGGGGGUUGUGGCCUUCAAAAGAAAUGUUGUGCUUUAAGAAGGGAACCAAUGGCUAUGCAGCAAAAGUGAAUCAAGUUAGAAUGUGAAGACAAAGGGUUGUGAAAGUCAGAAUAGCUCAACAGGGAUAAGUAGAGAAGAGAAGAUGGAUCUUUUUAGUAUAAGGGUUUUGGUUGGUGUUCUGCAACAAGUAUGGGAAUUUUAUACCUUGGAGAAAUGGUUCUCACUUAUGAAUGGUGUCUAAGAAGAACCGGUAUCAGUACUGUCUUUAUGGAUGGUUCAUGUUGAAGUCGUGUAUAGUACAAGAAGAAGGUAGAAGUUGGGUAAGAGCAACAGUGUUUGGACUCAGUGUAAUCAUAUGGAGAACUACAAGGUUGAAGCAUCUUAGAAGAGAAAUAAAAGAUAGGUUGGAGCAGUCGCGUAUAAGUCUUAACAAUCAGGAUUGAUUUUGGGCAUGUUCGUUUUGUGAAAUAGAAAACAAUGUUGAGGAAAUGGAAUGACAAGGUUAGUAUACGAGAAAAGAGUUACCAAGGUUUUGCAAAGUCAUGGAAGUUUUGAAGAAGGCUCUUCAAGGGUGAUCAUUUUCGAAUUACAAUUGUUGUGAAGAAAGAGUUCUUUCAGUAAACUAGUGAGUAAGGGAGUUUGAGGAUCAGAGUAGCGCAGCAGAUGAUGGUGAGCAGGUUAUUAUCAGUAAUAUGUGCGCAUGAAGAGCUUUCAUAAUCGUAGAUUGGUGGUUUGUGAGGGACAAGUUAUUUGAAACUGUAUUGGUGCUAUUAUAUGAGAAUGAGUUGGGAGGGUUUGGUAAUUCUCAAGAGUCAGAAGUGAGUUGAGCAUGGAAGAAAUAGGUAUCACGCAAGAGAAGAUAAGUGCGGUUUCAAGCUACAGGGUCAACUUUCAAGUGAGGAAGUAUUAAUGGACUCGGAACAGGAAGAGUGGAUCAAUGGACGAAGGAGAUGAUUUGAGCUAUGGUUUCGAGUUGUAGUGUUAAUCUUGAGGUAAGGAAGUGUUAACCGAUGGUUUGAAUUAAAGAGAAGAUUCAGGUUCUUGAUUUGAUAAGGAUUGAGUAAGAGUUGGAUGAAGAAUAUGAAGUUUGGGAUCUUUAGUGAAGCUGUAAAGUGAUUUCUUUAGUAUAGUUGAAAUACUAUAACAGAUCAAAAUGGUUGAAAACACAGUUUGGACAAUCUUAG
rnacentral:lncRNA from 1 species